rnacentral:rRNA from 1 species
AACGUAGGUGGCGAGCGUUAUCCGGAUUUACUGGGCGUAAAGGGUGUGCAGGCGGGCUGUUAAGUGGUGUAUGAAAUAUCCCGGCUCAACCGGGAAGGGUUAUGCCAGACUGGCAGUCUAGAGAGCGAGAGAGGGACGUGGAAUUCCACGUGUAGCGGUGAAAUGCGUAGAGAUGUGGAGGAACACCGAUGGCGAAGGCAGCCUUCUGGGCCAACACUGACGCUCAUGCACGAAAGCGUGGGGAGCAAACAGG